GCGGAGGAGGCAGCGGUGGUGGUGGCACCGGGUAGAAGGCGGUGGCACUGGGUAGAAGGCACCGCCGCCGCCCGCCGCGGGAGGCUUCCGCGGAGACUCAGGGCUGCAGAGCCAGCGGAGGCUGAAGGAAGAGAAAGGUAAUUUUCCUACUCGCAUAUAUUAAUUUCACCUGGGCGACAGAGCAAGACUCCAUCUCAAAAAAAAUAAAAAUAGAAAAAAAAAAUUAGCCGGGCUUGGUGGCAUGCUCUUAUACUCCCAGCUACCUGAGAGGCUGAGGUGGGAGGACUGCUUGAGCCCGGGAGGUCAAGGCUGAGAUCUUGCCACUGCACUGCAGCCUGGGCAACAGAGUGAGACCUUGUCUCAAACAAAUAAUUACAGAGAACUAUGGGGGGUGGGGAGGUUGUCACAUGAUACAUUUUAGUCAGUCUGCACUGAGAUGUUAAAUGAUUGAUACAUUUUAUGUCAUUAUAAUUUACAAAUUAUCUUCCUACCUCCUGUGUCUAAUACAAUCCCAGACAGAUUUGAAACUCCCUGAGAGAAGGGCCAAGCUUCAUACUUAUUUAUAACCAUGAUAGCAUUUAGUAGAAUCCAACACAUCACUAAUUCUCAAUCAAAAUGUAUGGAAUGAGUGGAAAACAGUAAGAUGUGCUACAUGGUUGUCAGAGAUUCUGGUUUAGGGAGCCUUGAUUUAGUUACUUUUCAGGGUAAUUCCUUUUAAGCAGCUUGGUUAUUAGAACUUCCUUGGGAGAGUUACUGUGAUUAUUUUGCAUUCAUGUGCUUAGUUCAAGACAGAGUCCAUAGUUCAAAUCAUUGAAAAUGACUCAUUAAAAUUUUCCUCUUUUUUUUCCUAAUAAACAUGGAAGAAGAGCCAUUUAUCCAUUAGAUGCUAUGGAUCGAGCAACUAAAUGGCAAAAGUAAAAAUCCCUACACAAGGUUUAGAACAAAACUAGUUGACAAGGUAUCCCCACAAACCCCAAAUGUAAGAGGCGUGAGGAGGAACCACAGACAGCUGCAAGACCUGAGUGAAGUCAGCAAAUGCACAGAUAAAAACAAGGGCAUGACAAAGCAUGUGGUGGACAUGAAGAGAGGAGAAUCCAAAAAUAGCAUCAGGUUCCGCCAGGAAAGUGUGGCAAGAACAGCAGCUGAAAACAGGAAGGAUUUCGCCCCAUGCAGUAGUGAGUGAGUGCAAGGGGCCCAUGGUGAGAACUGAAAGCCUAGAGCAAUCCUUCCUUCCGGGAUUAAGACCCCUCACAGAGGGGAGACUCUUAAGAUGGAAUGAGAAUUUUGCAGAUGUAGACUAGAG
rnacentral:lncRNA from 1 species